AUGUUGUAUGAGCAGUCUGGUCCUAAUGGAUUACGUGCCGGCACUUUGUUAACGAUCAUUCUAAGAUUUCACAUAAGAUGCCAUGGUUGCCUGGAUGAAGAGACUAGAUGGGAUAUUUCUGCAGUGAAAGCAUCUAUCACCAUGUCAGCUCAUGCAUGCACCUGCUGUUAUCUGGCUGUUCCUCACACCGCCAGGUGGUCCUUGAACCCUGCUGCCUGGGUGAGAGCCACAUUCCAGCAAGUUCCUUCUCGGCACUCCUCAGAGGUAUUUCUGGACCACACAAGGUCUCUGCUCAUCCAGAGCACAGGUGUCCCCUGCUCUCUGGAAGCGGAGCGUUCCUAUGAACACUUUCGAAAACCAAAGUGGCGGAAAGUGGACACAGCUUGCCGACAGAUGCACAAAAUCAAUGGAGACAAAUCACAGAUACUCAGAGAUGCAGUUCAAAGCUCUGGAGGCCAGAUGCGGAGACGCGGAGUUGCUGAGGGCUGA
rnacentral:lncRNA from 1 species